CAUAUCUGUAAAAUAAAAUAGUUACAAGAGAUUUUAAUCACAACUCAAAGUUCAGUGUUUUCAUUUUUUAUUGUGGUAAUUGUUUUAUAAACUGCAUAAUUUUUUAGCUCUUUAGUUGACAGGGUAUAUGAACUUUUCUCACCUGUGUGUUUCUUUUACUAGGAGUAAUAAAUACUAUGUAUCAGGAGGAAUCAUCAUUCCAUAGUGGCUGGAGACAACAUGAAUUUAUACACAGCAUGCUUUGCUAUGGAGACCCUCAAAAAUUACAUUUUUUUUUUUUUUCAGCCUUGGAAAUAAAUACAUUCCUAGAAAAUACUUUCAAAGUUUUCUAGCUUGUAAACCUCUUAACAACUUAAAAGACAAAGUAUGUAUUUUUGAUUCAUCUAGAAGAAAGAAUACCAUGAGCGUUACUUCCCAGUGAAAGUAGUUCUGUGAGGUGUACCUUUGUAUUUUCAAGAGGGGCAUUUGAACUGCAAACACCAAACCUUGGAAGAAUAUUCCACAGGCUUACAGAUGACACAAGGGGAUCAGCAGGAAGAAGGGAAAGAGAUGAUGUUGAAGAAUGAAUGCCCUCUGUGGCUCUAAUCCUAUAAAAAUCUCACAGCCCCUGCUCAAGAUGAAGCAACCUGGACAGAGAAAGAUGAUGCACUACCUUGUUCCCAAAGCACCUGUCAGUAUGGUGUUUAUCUUGCUCAUUUUUUCUUAAAAUUUGGUCUUAAAGAAGGUAUGCAGUCACCUUCCAGGAACAGCAACUUACUCUUUAACUGAGUUCAUGGAACAGCCGCAGCACAGAAGGAGCCUUUGCUGCUUUCUGUGUGGAGUGAAAAAGUAAUUUUCUCAGUUUAAAAGAGAAAGCAUAGUGCCGAGGUUCAAUGUUUCAAUCCCCACGACUUGUCCCCAGCACUAAAGACAAUGACAGAAGAGGCAGAGGCAGUUAAGGACAGGCACAGCAAGAUGUAGCAUCAGUUUACUACUAGACUGGGACUGUGCACUGCUAGAAGCGCCCUAGACUUGCCUCUGUCAGGCCCCUUGCAGCACUGUGCUAAGCUGCCAUCAGUUGGAUUGUGCCUGGGCCCUCAGGAAGACAGAAGGAUGAGUCAUUCUCAGGACCUCAAGUUCUGUGGAGCUGAAAAAGGCUCAAAGCUCUCUUGUGCAAGUAUCUUCAAAAAUACAUGUCUUUUUUGGCAUGUGCAGUUAGGGAAGAGAAUGAGGAACAUCUGCUGAUACAGAGAAAUACACAGAGGUAACGUCUUGUCUCUACGUGCAUAUUAGCCAGUGAGCUAUUUUAAGUUCCAGACAAAUACAUAGAGCUACAAACCAACAACAGAAGGGUAUUUGUGAUCUUGGUUAGAAGCAAAGCUACAGCAUUCAGGGCUCUCCAGAGGGCCUGUGCUGGCUGCAGGCUGGGUGUCAAGUCUUUGUUUGGCCUCAAAGGCAAACAGGAGUAGAAGGGAAUAGGAAUAUCCCGUAUUACAAAUCUAAGCUGAUCUGAGUGAAGGCCCAGAGAAGGAAGAUUCUUGGGCCAUUCACUACAGCACAAAUCUUGUUUCAGGCAAAUCAAAUCACACCUAUUGCAACUUGACUUUCUCUCAGUGAAAGUAAUCAAAUUUGUUUUAACUAUUGUUUUGACAAUUUAGUUUCAAAUUCGUCACAGUAAUCUUAGUGGUAAAGUUAGAAUGAAAAUGAUGUUUUAUCUAGUCUGCGUGCAGGAGAGAAUGUGAGAAAGGAGGAGAUGGAACAAGCCUUCUCUGUGAAACAAAGACAUGCCACUGUGUGUAGUAAUUCCCAAGUCUUUUAAAGUUAUGACAGAAGUUGACUGUCACUUGUUCGUUCAAACUGGCUAGUCCAAUUAGCAGCUAUUUCCCCUUGCCCUUUUUGGUUUGGCCUACAUAGAUUUGAUCUGAUGGAUGGGGGAUAAAUGGGGCUAACUAGCUCUUUUGAAGAUACACUACAGGUCUAUUUUUGACAUGGAGCCUAAGUCCAGGGAAUGCACAGGAUAUCCUACCUAGGACAGGAUGAAGCAUCAGUUCAGUCAAAGUGGGAUUCCCUAGGCUUUUCCUGAGUUUGCAGGUACUUUGAUUUCAGUGGCCUUUUUACGGAAUGAACUUGUCUCUCAGAGUGGUAGUUGAUAUGGUGGCAGGGCAGAAGAGGGGCAAAUAUAAUCAAAUAUCAUUAUUUCUGUAAGGGUUAAAAACUGAUGCACGAACAUUGACUGAGAAUCUUGGGUCUAAACUUCACAGAUAAGUUACAGAGAAUUAACAUUUAUGUUUUGCCAAGAAUAGGUUGCCUAAGCAAACUUGGUACAAGCUUGCUCUCUUGUGUUGAAAUCCAUUACUUCCUAAUUAGAUUUGUUUUGCAUCUAUUACUAAAAAUGUAACUUAGCAUUCAAAGGCACUGUUACAUCUGCUUCUCCAAAAUCCACUUUAAGAUAAAGCUACAUAAGCUUCCAUUCUCAAGGCAGUAAAAUACUAUCUUUUUAAACAGACAAUAUUCUGGAGUCCUAAAGUACUUCUUCAAUAUGUAAUAUCUGUGUGUAAGUUUCAUUAAUUUUACAGAGUUUACUGCUUGCUAUAUUUAGGGUUCAGUCCUGUCAGUCACUUCAUUAAAGUCUCUCAAACAUCUUCCUUUUUGGGGUACAAGCUGGACACAAAUUUAUUGCUGUGGAGAGAUACUGUCAAUAAUUAUGGCUGUCCACAUACACAGGUUCUUAAUAUAUACAUUAUUUGCUAACAGCCCCCUUAAAGUAGUAAGCAGCAGUUUUUCUAUACUAGUACAUCAGUUGGAAAAUAUUUUUUUUCAGUCAGGUUAUUAAUACCAUAUUUUUAUUAAGAGGGCUGCCAGCAUAUUAGCAUCAUUUGUAUUUUAGCAGUUAAUAAUCCAAGCUAAAACUUGGGUCAUAAAAAUAGCCCUAUUUAGAAUCAGCAUUUUUUCCUCUGGUGUACACAGUAAGGCAAACAAUAGAGAGAAGGAACAGAGAGAACUCCAUAAAAACUAGGGAAGAACUCAAAGCAAAUGCUAUCCAGAAAAAACAGAGGUCAGACAAAACUUGGUGGUGGGGCCGAGUGGGACAUGUUAUUUGAGGUUUAGUAAGCAGAUAGUGAUUAUGGUCAAGAGCAGCAAGGUUUUUUGAAAAGUCUUAAGUUGUGUUCAUAAAAACUGUAAAUUGAUUAUAUAAAACUUUGUUAAAUUGGAAAGAUCUAAUCUUUCCUGCGCAUGUAAUACAGCUGUGCUAAAUUAUGUUUUUGUGCAUGUGUUGCAAUAUAUGGAGAACAGUUUUCAAAACAUUUUUUAAUUGUUCUGAAUGGCACCAUUUUAAAUCUAGCUUUCUAAAAGCUGGUGCAUAAGUCUGCAAUACAUACUCCCUUGUUUCUUAGAUUAAACUUUUUAUGGAAAAGAAA